GAUGAACGCUGGCGGCGUGCCUAGCACAUGCAAGUCGAACGGAGAUUACGGACGGAAGUUUUCGGAUGGAAGCCUGUAAUUCUUAGUGGCGGACGGGUGAGUAACGCGUGGGCAACCUGCCCUAUACAGGGGGAUAGCAGCUGGAAACGGCUGGUAAGACCGCAUAAGUCGGUUAAAUCGCAUGAUUUGAUCGGGAAAUGAGCAAUCAGGUAUAGGAUGGGCCCGCGUCCGAUUAGCCAGUUGGCAGGGUAAAAGCCUACCAAAGCGACGAUCGGUAGCCGGACUGAGAGGUCGGACGGCCACAUUGGGACUGAGACACGGCCCAAACUCCUACGGGAGGCAGCAGUGGGGGAUAUUGCACAAUGGAGGAAACUCUGAUGCAGCGACGCCGCGUGAGUGAAGAAGUAUUUCGGUAUGUAAAGCUCUAUCAGCAGGGAAGAUGAUGACGGUACCUGACUAAGAAGCCCCGGCUAACUACGUG
rnacentral:rRNA from 1 species